CAGUCGCCGCGGUAAUACGUAGGGUGCAAGCGUUAAUCGGAAUUACUGGGCGUAAAGCGUGCGCAGGCGGUUUGUUAAGACAGAUGUGAAAUCCCCGGGCUCAACCUGGGAACUGCAUUUGUGACUGGCAAGCUAGAGUCUGGCAGAGGGGGGUGGAAUUCCGCGUGUAGCAGUGAAAUGCGUAGAUAUGCGGAGGAACACCAGUGGCGAAGGCGACUGACUGGACAAGUAUUGACGCUGAGGUGCGAAAGCGUGGGGAGCAAACAGGAUUAGAUACCCGAGUAGUCCCUGUCUCUUAUAC
rnacentral:rRNA from 1 species